rnacentral:rRNA from 1 species
AUUGAACGCUGGCGGCAUGCCUAACACAUGCAAGUCGAACGAGUGGCGGACGGGUGAUUACUGUCUGGGAAACCGCCCGAUGGAGGGGUAUAACUACUGGAAACUGUAGCUAAUCCCUCAUCCCAUAGGUUGUGCCCUGAUGGGUUUAGCUAGUAGGUGGGGUAAUGGCUCACCUUGGCGACCAUACCUAGCUGGUCUGAGAGGAUGACCAGCCACACUGGAACUGAGACACGGUCCAGACUCCUACGGGAGGCAGCAGUGGGGAAUAUUGCACAAUGGGCGCAAGCCUGAUGCAGCCAUGCCGCGUGUAUGAAGAAGGCCUUCGGGUUGUAAAGUACUUUCAGCGAGGAGGCGUUACUCGCAGAAGAAGCACCGGCUAACUCCGUGCCAGCAGCCGCGGUAAUAC